ACGCCGCGUCCCGAGCGGCCGGCGGCCGGAGCUCGCCCCCGCCCCUCCCUCCUCUCCGGCGGCGGCGGCGGCGGCGGCGGCGGGCGGAGUGAGCUGCGGAGCCUGGAAUAUGGUCGGGGAAAUGGAAACGAAGGAGAAGCCGAAGCCCACCCCAGAUUACUUGAUGCAGCUGAUGAACGACAAGAAGCUCAUGAGCAGCCUGCCCAACUUCUGCGGGAUCUUCAACCACCUCGAGCGGCUGCUGGACGAAGAAAUUAGCAGAGUACGGAAAGACAUGUACAAUGACACGUUAAAUGGCAGUACAGAGAAAAGGAGCGCAGAGUUGCCUGAUGCUGUGGGGCCUCUUGUUCAGUUACAAGAGAAACUGUAUGUGCCGGUAAAAGAGUACCCAGAUUUUAAUUUUGUUGGGAGAAUCCUUGGACCUAGAGGACUUACAGCUAAACAACUUGAAGCAGAAACAGGAUGUAAAAUAAUGGUCCGAGGCAAAGGCUCAAUGAGGGACAAAAAGAAGGAAGAGCAAAAUAGAGGCAAGCCCAACUGGGAGCAUCUAAAUGAAGAUUUACAUGUACUAAUCACUGUGGAAGACGCUCAGAACAGAGCAGAAAUCAAGCUGAAGAGAGCGGUUGAAGAAGUGAAGAAGUUACUGGUACCUGCAGCUGAAGGAGAAGACAGCCUGAAGAAGAUGCAGCUGAUGGAGCUUGCAAUUCUGAAUGGCACCUACAGAGACGCCAACAUUAAAUCACCAGCCCUUGCCUUUUCUCUUGCAGCAACUGCCCAGGCUGCUCCAAGGAUCAUCACUGGGCCUGCGCCUGUCCUCCCACCAGCUGCUCUGCGUACACCUACGCCAGCUGGCCCUACCAUAAUGCCUUUGAUCAGACAAAUACAGACCGCUGUCAUGCCAAACGGAACUCCUCACCCAACUGCUGCAAUAGUCCCUCCAGGGCCUGAAGCUGGGUUAAUCUACACACCCUAUGAAUACCCCUACACGUUGGCACCAGCUACAUCAAUCCUUGAGUACCCUAUUGAACCCAGUGGUGUGUUAGAGUGGAUUGAAAUGCCAGUCAUGCCUGAUAUUUCAGCCCAUUGACUUGCUGGAUGAAGGACUAGAGUACAGCAGCGUAGAACACGACCAGUCAGUGUGGACAAACCCACUGCUUACCACACAGAGUUCUGAAACUUUAUUGUGUAUGACCUUGGUGCUGUGUGCCUGCUGUUGACUUUUAGGACUUUGAUCUUUCAAAGGUUCCCUGUCCCUGCCUCCCCAGCUUAAUAUUAAUUUGAAAAUCUUUAAUGAACUCGGACAUUAAGAUUUAAACUUGAAAAUUGAUUGUUCAUUUAAAGAAAGCCACAAUGCUCUGUAUGUUAUCUGUGUGUGUGCAUGCACUUAGGUGCCUUUUUGUUUAUAAACAUACAUUUUAUUGUACAUGUUUUCUGUCUUAAGUCAUUGUAUAAAAUAUAAGUCAGAAUUAUACCACAGAAAUGUUAGUGAGAGGCUGUAUUCUGUUGCACAUUACUUGAAGCAUUUAAAAAAAAAUAACAUGUAACCUAUAACCUUAUUUAAGUUUUCCUUUUUAUUAAUACUCCUUCCUGUGGCCCUGUGCAUGCUCCUUCCCAGAGCUCCUCUCCGCUGCGCUCACAGCAUCUGCUCCUGAGGAGUUAGGGCUCGUGGCUUCCAGCUGCUGCUCAUGCCUUGUCAGUACAACAGCUCCUAGUUUUGCCAGAUAGAAUUCUAUUUCUAUGCAAUCUGCUUAUCUAAAAUGAAAAAUAGAUUCUCACUCAGUUUACUGCUUAGAGACAGCAAGAGGCACUGCUGUAAAAUAUCUCAUGGUAAAGGAACAUGUUGUUUGGUUUGACUAGGACAUUUAUAAUUAUGAAAGCUUGAUUUAAACCAACAAAAUUAAGAGCAAAAUACGCAGGUACCCAAUUACCAUUUUAUUUUCAAGGUUCUCGAUAACAAGUACUGAGAAAAUACAAAUAUUGUUAUUUGUUUUGCCACCUAAGCAGUAAAACUGUGAUAUUGGCCCUUUGAAGAACUGAGGAAAAUAUUUUAAAUUCCCAAGUUAUACUAAAUUUGCACACAGAUAACAUGCAUGCUUAUGUAUCAAGUCUCACAUUAUCUUAAAAUAAGCAGUGCCCUUCAAAACAGCUGCAGACAUGUGUGUUGGUGGUAGUGAGGAGAUUGGUAUUAGCAUCAAAUCUUCAUUGAUGACUAAUGUUUAAUUCCCUUCCUUUUAUCUUUAGGUAUGGCUUUCCCAACGAAAGGCUAAGAAUUCAAGAACGGUCUUAACUGAACCCUCAUCAGAUCUGAAUUUAACAAAUGCUUAGUCUCAGCAGCCUCCGGGAAAAACCUUAGCCUAGCAGUCAGUGACUUACUUGCACUUUUUGCACAUAGAUAUAAAGUAAAAUGAUGCUAUUAAUUUGGAUUAGUCUGUAAUACUGCAAAGCAAUGGUAAUUUAUAAAGGAGUGUAUAGUAGAAUACUGACUGCUAAGUGUACUGUACUGUUUGCUUUACUAAUCACCUAAUUCAUUGCAGUUCAUACUUAUUGACUCAAAAGUUUAAAACCACAAUCUGUAGGCUUUAAGAGUUGCUUUUUAAACCUUUUUUUAAGUGAUAAACUCUGAAAGUUAAGGUCAGCAAAUAAUUGUCAGUAUUAAAUGUGGCAUUAUUUAAAUAGUCCUGCUGCAAGAAAGGCACUUCAGUGACUACGUGACUAGUAAAGCUCAGAUGUGUCUGGUUCCGUAGCGCGCGAGAGAUACUGUGACGUGGGGACUGUACAUGAAGGGACGAAGUAGGUGGAAGGCCAACCUGUUUGAGAUGAAUGCAAUAUUGAUAGAAGCAUAUACACAUGACAUACUACAGUUCAUUUUUAAACUACUGUGCCUUAACGUGUUUCUUAAGCUUUUGUAGUAAGUGAACAUUUGAGAUCCAUUUUGAUAAACCUGCUGUCGAUGUUUCCCUUAUGUAUGUUUUCUAACUUUGUCUUGGUAAUUGCAAUUUAACUAGGUGCGGUGGCUACUAAAGUUCGAAGGCACGAUAUGCGUGUCCAUCCUUACCAAAGGAUUGUGACCGCAGACCGAGCCGCCACCGGCAACUAACCUAUGACCUUCUGACCUCUGAACUCUUCACCCAAUGAUGACCUGACCAUGCCUGCCUGCUGAUCAGUUAACUGGUAAUCGCCUUUGCUUGCCUGUCGUCAGUGCAGCGAGCUGAGGCACUUGUCCGUUCGUCUUACCAUCUAACCAAACAAAAGACAAAGAAAUUGUCCUCCAACUCAGCUUUUCCCCCCUGUUUGGGUGAAAGUGGUUCUAGAACCUGCACUGAAUAGUAGUAAAGCAAUAAGGCCCGAUUCAUCCCACAGCACUGAUCAUCUUUCAAUGCCCCGCCCCAAGCGAACGGUAAGAAGGCCUCUCUUAAGAGGGGGAGACAGAUGGCCCUAGCUACUCAGUGGCAGAGGCAGUUACUGUGAGAGACUUGGAGGAAGUCAAAGCUCUCUCUGAAUGUACUGUGUGACAAUGCAUCAUGCAUGAACCUUCGGUCAGGGAUGUCAUUGGUGAAGUGACUUCAAAAGUAUUCAAAAUUUGACAUGCUGUUUGUUUAGUCACUACAGUGCCCUCAAAGGGCAGAAAACGCAGCCUUUUUAUAUUGCCUGCCAAAAUUUGAAGUAUUAGAACAAAGUGUGCCAUGAGAGAAAAACUGAACAAGGAGUUUUGAAAAGUAAUGCAAAGAGCAAAACUGCAACACUAUUUUUAAAAAGUUGAGUAUCUGAGUUAAAAUUUCCAAAUCUUUAUUUUACACCACCUUAAAAAUUAUAUGAGAACAAGGUACAUGCAUUAUGUGUCACAUUACUGGGCAAACUGUUCAAAUAUUUUUUUUAAGCCUCCCUGUAUAGAGAAUAUCAUUAAGGAUGUAAAAGCCAUGCUUGCCUAUUUGCUGUAUACAUGUAAUGAAAUUGUAGAUAAAGUGUAGUGCAUUGAAACAAAUGAACAAAAAGUAGAUACUUUUACUAUACAAGGGUGCUGGUGCAGAAAAAAAAAUAUAUUUUUGGAAAUGUAGCAUUUUAUACUUUCAAGUGUUAUAAAAAAAAAGAAAAAGAACAAAGAAACCCUUUAUUUCAUUAAAUGAUUUUUUCUGGUGGUUGUCAAGAAACAAAAGACCAAAAGAGCCUUUUUGUCUUUCUUUUUUAUUUUUUAAGUAUUGGAAUAA